UCUGGUACUGACCCAGUUCCAGCUUCACCUUGACAAGGCAUGACAAGACAGAUCUGUAGGUUUACAUCCUUUGAUAUUACUUUUGCUACUAGGAGCCUGUUGUAGUGAUAUAGUAGUGAAAAAACCGAGAAUUGGAGAGUGAACUGUUUCUAGUUAUUUAUGUUCUGUUGGCAAUUUGAAGCUGAUAAAAUCCAUGGUGCUUUACUUCCUGGAGUUGGAAUAUAUUGUAUUGCCUAUACUGCCUCGUGAGUUUGCAUCUGGAAAAUAAUUAAAGUUUGCCUGACCAGCAUCCUUUGCAUGUAUCUACAAGAUUGACGUGGUUGAUUUUCUGGCAGAAUUCCAACAAAGAACUUUUGGUUCGUAAAAGAGGGGAAGCGUGAGGUUUAUGUAAUCUCACCUCAUCGUUAUGGGAUGUCACUAGGGUGGCCAUCAAACCCUAUCAGUCUUCCAAGGGAUAUCCGUAUGAACAAGUUUGGCAUACAUUUGGUUGUAUUUUAUGGUUGCUAUGGGCAUAUGGCAGGCCCCCUUUUUUUGUUUUUGAAUUUUAUAUUGGAAGACAAGUGCAGAGUAAUGUUCUCUACUUGCUGAAGAUAAUUCAUAUUUGUUUUUACAAGAGUUGCUAAAUGGUGGACCAACAGAAA
rnacentral:misc_RNA from 1 species